rnacentral:rRNA from 1 species
AGGGAGACAGGUGGUGCAUGGUUGUCGUCAGCUCGUGUCGUGAGAUGUUGGUUAAGUCCCGCAACGAGCGCAACCCCUACGUUUAGUUGCUAACGCGUGAAGGCGAGCACUCUAGACGAACUGCCGUUGACAAAACGGAGGAAGGUGGGAUGACGUCAAAUCAUCAUGCCCCUUAUGUUCUGGGCUCACACGUGCUACAAUGGCCGGUACAGACGGACGCAAAGCCGCGAGGUGGAGCAAAUCCUAAAAAGCCGGUCUCAGUUCGGAUUGCAGGCUGCAAUUCGCCUGCAUGAAGUCGGAAUCGCUAGUAAUCGCAGGUCAGCAUACUCGCGGUCCGAAUACGUUCCGGCCUU